UGACUACUCCCUCCGUUCCGAAUUACUUGUCUUGGAUUUGUAUAGAUACGGAGGUAUCUAGCACUAAAAUACAAAUCCAAGACAAGUAAUUCGGAACGGAGGGAGUAGUUG
rfam:Triticum urartu cultivar G1812 contig362610, whole genome shotgun sequence.